rnacentral:rRNA from 1 species
UGAGCAAUCUGCCCUUCUCUUCGGAAUAAGCGUUGGAAACGACGUCUAAUGCCGAAUACGACCUCCUUUCGCAUGAUCGGAGGUGGAAAGCUCCGGCGGAGAAGGAUGAGCUCGCGGCCUAUCAGCUAGUUGGUGUGGGUAAUGGCCCACAAGGCGACGACGGGUAGCCGGCCUGAGAGGGUGACCGGCCACACUGGGACUGAGACACGGCCCAGACUCCGUACGGGAGGCAGCG